rnacentral:lncRNA from 1 species
CCCUCCAUGUAAUGCGCUCCUUUUCAAAAUUUCUAAAACCGUUGUCUUUAAUUAGUCUGACUACUCACUUUGUCUUUAAGCCCAUUUAGAUCAUUUCCAGCAGGCAAAGCAACGAAAAACAAAUGACACUAGUACUAAUCCAUGAUUUCUAUUGGUCUUGAUUUUGGUGUUCAAAAGUGAAAACGCGGAAAAUAAACAGCUCGCCACUUGAACUUUUAAUAAGGAAGC